UACAGAGGUGGCAAGCGUUGUUCGGAAUUACUGGGCGUAAAGGGCGCGUAGGCGGCCUUCUAAGUCAGACGUGAAAUCCCCCGGCUUAACUUGGGAACUGCGUCUGAUACUGGGGGGCUAGAGUAUGGGAGAGGGAUGUAGAAUUCCAGGUGUAGCGGUGAAAUGCGUAGAUAUCUGGAGGAAUACCGGUGGCGAAGGCGGCAUCCUGGACCAUUACUGACGCUGAGGCGCGAAAGCUAGGGGAGCAAACGGGG
rnacentral:rRNA from 1 species